AACCCCAACAACAUUUAAAAUGGCAUAAGAAUUGGAGUGAAAGAAAUGUGGAUUUGGAGAAGUCUGGGGCCAGCUUCCCUCCCCCACCACCAUGGGCUCAAGAUCAAUCAUCCCACCUAG
rnacentral:snoRNA from 1 species